rnacentral:rRNA from 1 species
AAUUUACCCAACUCCUUGUAUGAGAACCUGAUUAAUUUAAACAUAUUAUUACACAGAGGAUAUGAAUUUGGGUUAGUUUUUCUUAGUAAUGGCGAACGAACAGAACGAUAUUCACAUCAUAAACACAUUUCAAAUUAAUAUUAGUAUGUAGUUAAAUAAAUUGAAUACUUCAAAUUAUUAGAAGCUUUUUCAAACACAAUAUAUUAGAGGAUUGUAAUUCCGUAUUAGUCUAAUUAUCGAUUUUAUCUUCAGUAUGUUUAGAAUACUGCUCUUCGAUACUAGAGUAGAAAGAGUAUGAUGAUAGACAUAAAAUGAUAAACUAUUAUUGAGGGCCUUUAGCUUACAAGUAUCUUGAGGGAAAUAUGAAAAGAACUUAAGAGUAGGAGUUAAAUAGUUUGUGCAUUUGUUAGUAAAAAGCGACUAAGAUUUUGCAUUAUCGCUUUGAUAUAUGACUAUCUUUUAAACAUACAAUAAUACUUUAUCUUUGUAACAUUUUAUUUAUCAAAGUGCAUUGAAUAUAUUCCUUUUAUUUUUAUUCGACCCGUCUGGAAACACGGACCAAAGGAGUCUAGUACAAGUGCGAAAUAUUUAAAAUUAAACUCUUUUCAUUAUAUGUAAUGAGAGUCGUAUUUAUCUUAAUUGUAAAUUACUUACUGCGGAUAGUGUGUUUUCCUUUAUAUAAGCAUUUAUACUAGGACCCGAAAGAUGGUGAACUAUACUUAUGCAGGGUUAAGUCAGGAGAAAUUUUGAUUGAGGCCCGUAAUAAUACUGACGUGCAAAUCGUUUGUUGGAUACGGGUAUAGGGGCGAAAGACUAAUCGAACUAUCUAGUAGCUGGUUGCCUUUGAAGUUUCCCUCAGGAUAGCUAGAGAAUAUUAGAAGUUACAUAAGGUAAAGUAAAUAACUAGAGUUUAGGGGAUUGAUAAAGUCUCAGUCUAUUCUUAAACUUUAAAUGUGUGUAAAGUGAUACUGUUUGUAUUAGAGUGUCCCGCAGAAUAACGUUUCUCUGUGGACCAUUUUUGGUAAGCAGAACUGGCGGUAUGGGAUGUUCCAAACGCAUAGUUAAGAAGCUAAGUUGUUAACUUAGUCUGACACCAUAAAGGGCGUUACUUGAUAUGAACAGCAGGACGAUGAUCAUGGAAGUUGAAAUUCGCUAAGGAGUGUGUAACAACCCACCUGCCGAAUCAAGUAGCCCCGAAAAUGGAUAGCGCUCAAGCAUAUUUUUGAUACUAAACUACUGAUAGAGUUACGUGGAUGUUAGUAUGUAGGGGGGUGAAGCAGUAUCGUUGAAAAUUUAAAUGUAUGAUAUAUGGGAGCUAUUGUCUUUACAGAUCUUGGUUUUAGUAGCAGAUUUUCAUCAAUGAACUAUGAAUACUGAGGUGGAGUAAGGUUCCAUAACAACAACAUUUGGAUGUGGUUUAGUAGGUCCUGAAAAAAUAUUCAUUAAAUAUUAAACAAAAAUUUUUUAAUAGGGAAUCAAGUUAAUAGUCUUGAAUUACAUAAUGAGUUGUUAUUAAGGCAACUUCAAAAUUUGGUAAGAAGAUAUAAUAAUUCUACAAGAGAUUUCUAUUCUUAUUGAAAUUACUAUGAUCAUGGAAUAAUUUUUCAUUGAGAUCAGAUUAUAGAAUAUUAAAAUCAUUGCAUAUUUUGCAAUGAAUGAUACGCGCUAUUUUUUUUUUUUAAACCAUUUAUUUUUAAUGUCGUUAUACAGUAUCCAUAUUAAUCACCGCAUCAGGUCCCCGAGGUCAAGCUCCUCUAGUUAAUAGAAAAAUGUGGGUAAGGGAAGUCGGCAAAAUGGUUAUGUAAGUUUGCGAUAAAGAAUGGCUCAUUAAGUUGAGUUAUAUGACUCGUGGAAUAGUCUAUGUGCUAUUACAGAUUGCCAAAUUUGAUACAAUAUUUUUUCUGGAAUAUCUUUCAUUUCAUAGGAUUGACAACUUGAGAAUAAAAUUUCUAAAUAGGAAUUGUUGUUUCAUUAACAAUUAACAGCUAAUAGUGAACUGUAGCUAAUCAGAGGAACCCGACUAUUUAAUUAAAAUAAAGCAUUGUGAGAGAUUUGGUUGUUAUGAAUACAAUGUGAUUUCUGCCCAGUGCUCUGAAUGUCACAGUGGAGAAAUUCAAUUAAGCGCGGGUAAACGGCGGGAGUAACUAUGACUCUCUUAAGGUAGCCAAAUGCCUCGUCAUCUCAUUAGUGACGCGCAUGAAUGGAUCAACGAGGUUCCUUCUGUCCCUUCCUACUAUCUAGCGAAACCACUGCCAAGGGAACGGGCUUGGGUGUAAUGGCGGGGAAAGAAGACCCUGUUGAGCUUGACUCUAUUUUGACAUUGUUAAGUGGUAUUGGCGGUGUAGAAUAGGUGGGAGAUAUAAAGCAACUUUGAAAUACCGCUACGUUGAUUACUGCUUCACUUAUGUAAUUCCAAUGGAAUAACUUAACCGAGUAUGUUUCUAGAUUAAUCUUCCUAAAGAAACUUGUUUAUAUAUUUUGUCCGAUAGGGAGUUUGGCUGGGGCGGCACAUCUGUUAAAAAAUAACACAGAUGACCUAAGAUCAAUUCAAUGUGAACAGAAAUCACAUUUGGAGUUUAAGUGUAGAAGCUGAUUUGACUUUGAUGUUCAGUAUGGGUCAAUGCACUGAAAUGUCUGGCUUAAUGAUCCUCUAGAUAUUCGUAUUUCAAAGCUAUAGGUGUCAAAAAAGUUACCACAGGGAUAACUGGCUUGUGGCGGCCAAGCGUUCAUAGCGACGUCGCUUUUUGAUUCUUCGAUGUCGGCUCUUCCUACCCCUAUCUUGCAUAAGGGAUAAACGGUUAGAUUGUUCACCUACUGAUAGGGAACGUGAGCUGGGUUUAGACCGUCGCGAGACAGGUUAGUUUUAUCCUACUAUUACAAAUCUUUCAUAAUUAUGGUACGCUAAUUUAGUACGAGAGGAACCGUAAGUGCUCAUUGAUAGUAUAUUAAUUUGAAUGACUUGUCAGUGUCUAGAAGCUGCUAUGGGAGGGCUAACAAUUGAACGCCUCUAAGUUGGAAACAUUGCGACAAAUUGUGAUUAUUAAGUAUAUCUUGUCUUGAUUUAUAGUUUGAACGUAUAUUCGUAUAUUAGUUAAAAUAAGAUGUAACUUAGUUGCGGUAAAAUUAGGUGCGUCUACUGUAGUAUAUUAAUGAUAUAUUGUAACAGUAGUAUUGUUUGGAUCAGAGUUGUCUUGAUCAACGAUUUUUUGAGAUUUGACUACCAAUUUUAAAAUAUUUACUAUUAC